rnacentral:lncRNA from 1 species
AUGUAUUUGACAGGUGAGCAAAAUAAUUUGGCAAACAUUAAAAAGCAAAAAUCUGGAGCACAAGAUGGACAUCAAUUCUGCAUGAAUGAAAGCUGGGCACUUUUUUUCAACCUCCUUUGGAUAAUGGGCACGAAGUUUGACAAAAAUUCAUUAGAAGAAUGUAAAUCUUAUCAUUCAGAACUUAGGUAUCAACCUGCAGUUUAAAUUUGAAUAGAACAAAUGGUUGGACUGACAAAGAUAUGAUUAUGAUUUCUCCUGGUACAAAAUUAGUUUUGAAAUUAUUUCCUUCAUUUUAAAUUAAAUCCCAAUAUGCCUUUGAAGAGCAUUCAUUCACGAGGUUUGAUUUUUUUUUUUUUUUUUUUUUUUUGAAAAAUGUACCAGUCAAAUGGAAAAUUUAAUCUUGAAAAUCAGGGUGAAUAUUUUUAUUUUAGCUAUUUAACAUCUAUUGAUGAUGAAAUGUAAUUCAUAUGUUGGAAUAUGGUGGUGAAAAGUUCUUGUAUAAGAACUAUGGCAAUGACCUAAGAGCAAAACCAGGUAUCUCUGUUUGCACGUAGCAGACUUCCGAACAUACUAUGUGUUUUCUUCCGAAAAUUCCUCAUCAUAACUCCUGGAAAGUUUCCUUAACUUUUCUUCACUCUUACAAUUAGCAGAAUACUCUACGCAAGUUUCAUAAAGUCAUAAAGUUAGUUGGCUUGCUCCGCUUCAAAAAAAAGGGGGGGAAUAGGAGCAGAAAUUUUGAAACACUGCAAUGGAGGUACAUGAUUUCUCACUUUGGUGUACAGCUUCAAAAUAACUUUGUUCACACUUUUAACUAAAUUCUUUGUCCAUAAAAACACAAUGUUCUCAUAUCAAAGUUGUACUAAGUAGAUUACAGAAUGUUGGUGAAAAAACGAUGGACUAAAAAGUUAGGGGACAUCUUCCCUUUAUGUACGAUGCAUCACUAUGCAUAAUCUUAGUCAUUAUUACAAGCUGUAAGCUGUGUUUAAGCUGUAAGUAGUUGUUCAAAAGAACUUGUCAAUUUAAAAUGCAAUACUCUGAAUGUGAAAUUAAUUUCUUGAGCCUGCAACAUUUUAGGAGAGAUCUUUGACAGGUUUUGAACUAAAAUAU